GUCUAGCUCAGUGGUAGAGCACUUGCCUACCAUGCAUGAGGUCCUGGGUUCCAUUUCCAGUAACA
rnacentral:tRNA from 1 species